UUGUUCACAACAGCACGUGCCUAGUUACACGAUGAACAUUGAUAAGUUCAAGGCUAAAGGAAUCGACUCUGUCAUUUGUGUGUUCGUUAAUGAUCCUUAUGCUAUGAAUGCUUGGGCAAGGAAAUUGAGAGCUAAAGAUGUGAUUGAAUUUUAUGGAAU